rnacentral:lncRNA from 1 species
GCAAAGAAAACGUGAUGCGAAUAAGACCAAUUUGUAAAGCAUAUUCCAGAGAUGUAGUGGUUGAGCACGGGUAAAUGUGUAAUGUGGAAAGUUGUCCGAGGCACUAUAAAAGGAGGGCCUUACCCUUAUGUAAAUUUUUACGUGCCUAAAUUUUAUUUGGUGUAAGAGUCAUCCGAAUUUGGUAGGAUUGAGUGCGCUGUUGAUUGACUUGUUACGUCUCCAGCAAAGUUAGAAGCCAACACCAGGACUAAAGACAUUUUUUUCUUUUUACUCUGAAUUCUUUUCCAUACUAAUGCUAAUUGUUGCUUUACUUAGAU